AUGGCUACGGCCGGAGUGUAAACGCCGGUUCUCGUCCGAUCACCGAAGUUAAGCAAUGUCGGGAGGGUGACCACCUGGAAACACCGGGUGCUGUAGGCU